UACGACCAUGCGGAGUUCUUAAUUAGUCACUUUACAUCACGUGAUCUCAUUUGUGUAUAAAUACCGAGACUCCGCAGUCGUCAGUGUCAUUCUGAUAGAAGACCCAGCCAAGUAGAGAGGACGAGAGUAUGGGUACUAAUAAAGUAUUCAUGAUAAACAAUUCCUCGCCUGUUCUUACGGUUAGAGAGUGAAUUUGGAAGGCCAUCAGAAGUCUGGCCUUCCACGAAGAGGUUGACCUCCAGUACAGAGGCUAGCCAUAAUUCGUUUUUGGUGUCGUCCGCAUUGGCUGAACAGACCGUCGUCCAGGCCGCUAUAUUCAUUGUCCGUCCUGAAUAAGGCAUCCUACAAAUUGGACAAUGAACAAAUAUUUAGAACUUGGGGUCCAUCCUGAGAAACUGGUGAUGGGUCUCCACGGCGCAGGGGCAACUUUUACACUGGCCAAUAAUAGCAAGCAUGGCGUCGGGGACGCAAUUUCUGAUCCCGGCAAUGAGGGACUAUUGCUCAAACUGAAGUCCCGAAAAUCUUAUCCUGAGGUAAAUCAUGUACACCACAAUGUGAAAUAGAAUGAAACAAUAACCCGUGGUUUGCGACGAUGUCAGCGGCAUUAAGUGUAAUUUUGAGAAGAAUUGACGCAGUUCUGGCAUAAACAACUUCCAAGUUUGUGAAAUAGAAUGAAACAAUAACCCGUGGUUUGCGACGAUGUUUACGUAUAUACACGAUCUUAAGGAAAGGUAUAAAAGACGCAAAAUCUGA